rnacentral:rRNA from 1 species
GUCCACGCCCUAAACAUUGGAUACUAGAUAUUGCGAGGAAUCGACCCCUAGCAGUGUCGCAAGCUAACGCGUUAAGUAUCCCGCCUGAGGAGUACGAGCGCAAGCUUAAAACUCAAAGGAAUAGACGGGGACCCACACAAGCGGUGGAGCGUGUGGUUUAAUUCGACGAUAAACGAAGAACCUUACCUAGACUUGACAUCUUGCGAAUGCUCUGGAAACAGAGAGGUGCCCUUCGGGGAGCGCAAAGACAGGUGCUGCAUGGUUGUCGU